GGUGAACGCUGGCGGUGCGCCUAAUACAUGCAAGUCGAACGAGAUCAGAGUUGAAUUUAUUCAAUUCUGUGAAAGUGGCGGACGAGCGAGUAACACGUAACCAUCUGCCCCGUACUCAGGGAUAACGGCUCGAAAGAGUCGCUAAUACCGGAUAGUCUCGUAAGAGUAAAGCUUUUGCGGUACGGGAGGAGGUUGCGGCUUAUCAGUUAGUUGGUGGGGUAAAGGCCUACCAAGACGAUGACGAGUAGCUGGUGUGAGAGCAUGACCAGCCGCGAUGGGACUGAGACACGGCCCAUACUCCUACGGGAGGCAGCAGUAAGGAAUCUUCCGCAAUGGACGAAAGUCUGACGGAGCGACACCGCGUGGUGGAUGACGGCCUAUGGGUUGUAAACACCUUUUCUCAGGGAAGAAGAUCUGACGGUACCUGAGGAAUAAGCCCCGGCUAAUUACG
rnacentral:rRNA from 1 species